rnacentral:rRNA from 1 species
UACGGAGGGUGCAAGCGUUGCUCGGAAUCAUUGGGCGUAAAGCGUACGCAGGCUGUUCGUUAAGUCGGGUGUGAAAGCCCGGGGCUCAACCCCGGAACUGCGCCCGAAACUGGCGAGCUUGAGUGCGGGAGAGGGAAGCGGAAUUCCUGGUGUAGAGGUGAAAUGCGUAGAUAUCUGGAGGAAUACCGGUGGCGAAGGCGGCAUCCUGGACCGCCAUUGACGCUGAACGGCGAAAGCUAGGGGAGCAAACGGG